UGUGUGUGUGUGUUACCUGUGCAGCAUCUGUCCAGCAGGUGUGUGUGUGUGUGUGUGUGUGUGUUACCUGUGCAGCGUCUGUCCAGCAGGUGUGUGCUCCACUUCAUAACCUUCACGCCGCAUGACGUCAAUCACAGAGUUGUUUCCAAGAAAGUGACCUGAAACACAAUCACUCCACCUUCAGUCUCUGAACUCAGGUUAGGCAGUCUGAAACACACACACACACACACACACAC